CUCAAGUCCAAUUAUAUUUUUCUAGCAGAGGUGGAUUGUAUUUGGAUUUCACACUAGGAAAUUCAGCUGGAAAAGUAAAAGGCACGGGGAAGGUUUUACCUUCCAUACUACCUAGUUGCUGCAGACCUCAGCUUAAGGAGAUUGGUAUCAGCAAGGUUAGAAGAUGGUACCAUUUAUCAAGGUAAUAACCAGAACCAGGCCCUGGUCCUACAGUGAGUUCCCUUUGAAAGAUAGAGCUGCACAGAUCCAGGAUUUCCAAGGACACAAUUAUUGUUAA
rnacentral:lncRNA from 1 species